GGAUAUCAACUCGCUCUGGAUGGGUUGGAAUACUGCAGGACAUGUGUGGACCUAACCAUGUAGGCAGUCUAAUGUCUUAAAAAUCACAUGUAUAGUAACACCUAAAACCCAGGGGUAAUAUGUAUCCUGUGUUACCUUUCAGGUCAUAGACUUGCACACAGAAGAGGAGGCCAAACAUGAAGUUAUGAGAAUGCUUUUUACUAUUGUAUUCUAUGGCUUCACAAACAACUUCGUCAAACGAAACAUCGCAAAUUUAAACACGCCAUCAUUCCUGUGGGCUGCAGCGAAAUGUAUCAGACAUUUUUUACUCACUACGAGCUUGCAUAAGCCCCUUCAGAGUUUGACUGCUGAGCAGCGGCCCCUUCUAAACCUCUUAGAGAAGCGUAUCAGGAGUGUUGGUGUGUCACAGUCCAUUGAUCUAUCAAAGAGGAAAACACAGACUGCGCUGUAUGUCCUCCAUCGCCUACUAGACCACGGCGUGGCUAAAGAACUCGUCGUACAUGUGCAAUGUCCCGUUGUGCUGGCCUGGCUCCUACAUGGAAGGGGUUCUCAGUAUGUAAACCCAGAGCUGAAGAAUGUAAUGGGCAGCAAAAAGGCAAACUGUGUUUCACAAGCGGCUUCAGCCAGUGCAGACGAGGCCAGUUGCAGUUCAGGUGUUGAGACCAGGACUUCAGAAGAUCAGGAUGAUGAAGUCACUCCAUGCAAACAGUUAAAGUUGGAUUCUGUGGCUGUGAAGGGAGAGGAGUCUGGAAAAGCAAAGCUGACUGUGGACCCGCACAUUCUCUGUCAGAAAUUUACUCCAUGUGAUGGUCCCUCAGUGGGGGCUUGUCCAUGGGGACAGAUCCAUUGUCUGGAGAUCAGGCAGUGUGGGUCCGACUCCCUUAGAGUGCUGAACUCUGCCCUGCCUACAUUUUUCUGCCUUCGCUCUCUAACACUGCACAGCUUUUUGAUCUUCAGGGACUCGGAUGUGUUGGGCCUGGCCAGGACCCUGAAGCAGCUGUCUGAGAGCUCCCACAGCUCCCUCACAGAUCUGAGCAUCAGUGUCCUGCCGUACACCGAGCUGGUGGAGAUCCUGCUGGACGCGAGCCCCAAUGUGACAUCCCUGCACGUGGAAAUCCAGACUCUGGUGUGGGGACAGCGCUUCACACCACAUCAUCCCAGGACUGCUGAGUCAGACAUGUCAGGUGCUGUGAAUCUUCUAUCAAAGUGAAGUAACACUUAAAGUGAGCAGGUUUAAAGUGUAAUGUACCUGUUGAAACGCUGACCUAGUCUAGUGCUAAGUAACACGGGGCCGGUUGCACAAAACCAACAACCUUCCGAUUAGUGGACGACCCACUCUGCCUAUGAGCCCAGUAUGACUCUUAAAGCUUAAUUUCUCCUUAGCUGAGGGACGCAGCUUUAAGGGAGUGUUGCACAGAAUCCCUUAAAGCUGCAAUAGAUAAUUUAAAAAAAAUAAAAUGUGCUGGAACUUUCUCUUUAUCCUGACAGGUACUACAUGACACAGAUAAUCUGUAAAAAAAACAAAAAAAAAAACAGGUUCCUCCUAGUGCUCCUUCAGGCAUUUACAAGAAUCCAGGGCAUCAAAUACAGAUGCUUUUGGGGCCCUGAGAAUGAGUCUCAACAGUCAACUACCUUCAACCCAAAGCGUCUUUAUAUCGUUAUCAGUUUUGAUUGGUUGUUUUCGUUCAGGCCCGGUGGAUUGUUGCAAAUACCAUUAGCAGCACUAGGGGAUAUAGUGAAAGUUUCAGAAAAUAUGACAAAGUUAUUUUUAUAAACUACUGCAGCUUCGAAAGGUGUCCUUAGGAACCGAAAAUAUGAAGGCAUUUACUAAAUUAAGCGACUUUACAGUAGUACAAUUCUGCAGUUCUAUGCAGACUGUUUGCUUACAUUCUAGUUUAGCAAACUAACAUGAAUGACCCUUUAUGUAACUCGCCUUCUCAUUUAGAGUGUAACCUAAUGUGCUAUAAAAGUUUGAAUUUGACAGGAAUUAUUCUAUAAAAUGUUUUUCUUUUAUUAAGAUCGAUUAGGAUUCAGUUUCUUUACUCUGGUUGCUAAGGUCUUUUGUGCAACAGUUUAACUAACUUUAAUGGAUUACCAAGUAUGAUCAAGAUGAGUAGAAAACUAUAAAUAAAAGAAUUGUAAGGAAACCUUAGCAGAAGGUGUUUUGUGUAACCAGUCCCUGGUCCUGUAUGAUCCUCAUUACUGAUCCUGUGUGAAUUCACACUAAAACAGUGUUGUAUACCAAAUCAACCUAAGGUGACUGUAUCCUUACUGUCUUUUUGCAGAGCUGCCCCUGGAGAAACUGACAGUCAAAGUAGCUGAGCUCCAAACAGACCUGCAUGUGAUCACAUCGGUGCUGAGACGCUCUCCACGUCUCACCACACUUCACAUAGCUGGGAUGAGAUUACCAACUGGCUCCUCUCAAAGCCAACUCCUCACCACUCUCAUAGGUAAGGUGUGUCUCUGUAAGGGGUUCACCACAGUUUGAGUUCUAGGCCUUCUACACGGUGCACACAGAGCACCAGGGCACGUGUAUAGAGGAUUGUUAGUGGUUCAAAGUCAGUACUCGUAGUAGUCAGUUUUGAGGCCGAUUCACAUGUUUUUGUCUUGGGGCAGGUUUGGCUGAUAAGAAGAAAAAAAGUAUAUAGAAUAACACAAGCAUUAUCUUUUAAGUUCUGCUAAAAUGCGGGUAACUUUUCAUUGACUGCUCACCCAGACACUGAUACUGUCCAAUCUGUUGAUCUGUGAACCAAACUGUAGCCUGUCCAAUGCUGGACAAGGGCGCCCGGGUAGCUCAGUGGGUAGAGCUGGGGACCCAUGUACCGAGGCUGAGUUCGAAUCCAACCUGCAGCCCUUUGCUGAGUGUCAUCCUCUCUCUCUGCCGCCCUUUCCUGUCUAUCUUCAGCUGUCACUAUCAAUAAAGCCAAUAAACCCCC
rnacentral:lncRNA from 15 species